rnacentral:tRNA from 1 species
AGAAAGAACAAUCAGUAAAACAGGGCUGCUAACUUUGUUUUGGGUAGUUGAGUUUAUCCUCUUUCUU